UGUUUUGAACUAAACCAGGGUUGAUAUGUUUUAAAACAAACAAAAUCCACACUAUUUCACAAUAUCAUUGUUCUUAAUUGAAAUUUUACAGCUGCGUUCCAGAUUGCUGGAGUAUUGGUAUGCUGAUUCCUGUCAGUGAACUGUAAUCUACAGCAUCCUGAAAGAGCAUGAGCAAGCUCUGUGUGGACAAAGGAGCCAAAAAAUCAGGGACAGAAGUGAAGGAAAAAUCUAUUGAGACCUGGAGUGACCCUGACUCUGGGGAGCUCCAGUCGACACAAGUGCACCCCCUUCAAUUUCAGUGGUCAGCAUGCAGGAAGCCAGAGAGCACAAAUAGGUAAUUGCAGCUGAAGUACUUGAUGGUUAUUUGAAAUAUGAUCUUCUUUGCAGAUAUUUUAAAGGGGCUGCGGGGGGAGGGACUAAGCAAUGUGAAAACUAAUUGAAACCCUUUCUUGGUACUGCCUUAUUUGCAGGCUAGUUGCAGCGUGUUUCUUCCAGUAAAUCAUCUGUGGUGCAGGCAGAGAAAUACUGGGCUUGUCAUUAGUGUAGUCCUUGUCCCAGCCUUCUGCCCAGCUUCAUGCUGACAGUAGUUACUUUAACAUAGUGCUCAGGAGCAGUGGUCAGAACCCCUUAUGACAGGGGUUGAACAAACCCCCCAGGCUUUGGGUAAAUCUUCAGGAGUAACUCCUGUAACAUAACAAGCUUAUGUCUCAUUAUAAAAAGCAAUCCAGGCACUUGGCUGCUGUUCUCCCAUUGAAUUAAUUUCCU